GAGCGUUCUAAGGGCUGUGAAGCGAGACCGGAAGGACUCGUGGAGCGCUUAGAAGUGAGAAUGCCGGUAUGAGUAGCGAAAGAGGGGUGAGAAUCCCCUCCACCGAAUGCCUAAGGUUUCCUGAGGAAGGCUCGUCCGCUCAGGGUUAGUCGGGACCUAAGCCGAGGCCGAAAGGCGUAGGCGAUGGACAACAGGUUGAUAUUCCUGUACCACCUCCUCACCAUUUGAGCAAUGGGGGGACGCAGGAGGAUAGGGCAAGCGCGGUAUUGGAUAUCCGCGUCCAAGCAGUUAGGCUGGGAAAUAGGCAAAUCCGUUUCCCAUAAGGCUGAGCUGUGAUGGCGAGCGAAAUAUAGUAGCGAAGUUCCUGAUUCCACACUGCCAAGAAAAGCCUCUAGCGAGGUGAGAGGUGCCCGUACCGCAAACCGACACAGGUAGGCGAGGAGAGAAUCCUAAGGUGAUCGAGAGAACUCUCGUUAAGGAACUCGGCAAAAUGACCCCGUAACUUCGGGAGAAGGGGUGCUCUGUUAGGGUGCAAGCCCGAGAGAGCCGCAGUGAAUAGGCCCAGGCGACUGUUUAGCAAAAACACAGGUCUCUGCGAAGCCGCAAGGCGAAGUAUAGGGGCUGACGC
rnacentral:rRNA from 1 species